UAGGGAAUAUUGGUCAAUGGGCGGAAGCCUGAACCAGCCAUGCCGCGUGCAGGAAGACGGCCUUCUGGGUUGUAAACUGCUUUUAUCAGGGAACAAAUAGCUCCUGCGGGAGAAGUUGAGUGUACCUGAGGAAUAAGCACCGGCUAACUCCGUGCCAGCAGCCGCGGUAAUACGGAGGGUGCAAGCGUUGUCCGGAUUUAUUGGGUUUAAAGGGUGCGUAGGCGGUUUAUUAAGUCAGUGGUGAAAGCCCCCAGCUCAACUGGGGAACUGCCAUUGAAACUGGUAGACUUGAGUACAGACGAGGUAGGCGGAAUUUAUGGUGUAGCGGUGAAAUGCAUAGAUACCAUAAAGAACCCCGAUAGCGAAGGCAGCUUACUAGACUGUAACUGACGCUGAGGCACGAAAGCGUGGGGAGCGAACAGGAUUAGAUACCCCUGUAGUCC
rnacentral:rRNA from 1 species